GGUCAAGUUAUUAAGGGUGCAGGGCGGAUGCCUUGGCACUAGGAGCCGAUGAAGGACGUGAUAAGCUGCGAUAAGCUUCGGGGAGUUGCACGUAAACUUUGAUCCGAAGAUUUCCGAAUGAGGAAACUCACUUAGAGUAAUGUCUAAGUAUCAUUAAGUGAAUACAUAGCUUAAUGAGGGGAACUCAGGGAACUGAAACAUCUAAGUACCUGAAGGAAGAGAAAGAAAUUCGAUUCCGUAAGUAGCGGCGAGCGAACGCGGAUUAGCCCAAACCAAUAAAGUUUUCUUUAUUGGGGUUGCGGACAUAUCAUAACGAAGAGGUAUCGUAAUUGAAGAGGUUUGGAAAGACCCACCACAGAAGGUAAUAGUCCUGUAUGUUAAACGAGAAGACUUCAGAUAUGAUCCAGAGUACCACGGGACACGUGAAACCCUGUGGGAAGCAGGAGGGACCACCCUCCAAGGCUAAAUACUACCUAGUGACCGAUAGCGUAUAGUACCGUGAGGGAAAGGUGAAAAGAACCCCGGGAGGGGAGUGAAAUAGAACCUGAAACCCUGCACUUACAAGCUGUGGAAGCACAUUUCUUGUGUGACCGCGUACUUUUUGUAGAACGGGCCAACGAGUUACGUUAAGUAGCAAGGUUAAGCACUUAAGGUGCGGAGCCGUAGCGAAAGCGAGUUUUAACUGAGCGUUCAGUUACUUGACGUAGACCCGAAACCGGGCGACCUACCCAUGAGCAGGAUGAAGCGAAAGUAAAAUUUCGUGGAGGUCCGAACCCACGAGCGUUGAAAAGCUCGGGGAUGACUUGUGGGUAGCGGUGAAAUUCCAAUCGAGCCCGGAGAUAGCUGGUUCUCCCCGAAAUAGCUUUAGGGCUAGCCUCAAGGUGAGAGAUACGGAGGUAGAGCACUGAAUGUCCUAGGGGGUAUUGCACCUACCGAAGACUAUCAAACUCCGAAUGCCGUCAUCUUAUACUUGGGAGUCAGACUGUGGGUGAUAAGAUUCAUAGUCGAAAGGGCAACAGCCCAGAUCGUCAGCUAAGGUCCCUAAAUGUAAGUUAAGUGGUAAAGGAUGUGGGAUUGCACAGACAACCAGGAUGUUGGCUUAGAAGCAGCCACUCAUUCAAAGAGUGCGUAAUAGCUCACUGGUCGAGUGAUCCUGCGCCGAAGAUUUCCGGGGCUAAAACUUACUACCGAAGCUACGGCAUCAGUAAUGAUGGGUAGGGGAGCUUCCCAUACGGGUUGAAGCAUGACCGUAAGGACAUGUGGACAGUAUGGGAGUGAGAAUGUUGGCAUGAGUAGCGAGAUGUGGGUGAGAAUCCCACAGGCCGUAAACCCAAGGUUUCCAGGGGAAGGUUCGUCCGCCCUGGGUUAGUCGGGACCUAAGCUGAGGCCGAAAGGCGUAGGUGAUGGACAACAGGUUGAUAUUCCUGUACUACCGAUAACCGUUUGAGAGAAGGGAUGACACAGUAGGAUAAGCUAAGCACACUGUUGGUUAUGUGUGCCCAAGCAUUGAGGCAGUCAAAGUAGGCAAAUCCGCUUUGAUAAUGCUGGGAUGUGAUGGGGAGCGAAAUUUAGUAGCGAAGUAGCUGAUUUCACACUGUCAAGAAAAGUCUCUAUCGAGGUUAAAGGUACCCGUACCGCAAACCGACACAGGUGGGUGAGGAGAGUAUCCUAAGGCCAGCGAGAGAACUGUUGUUAAGGAACUCGGCAAAAUGACCCCGUAACUUAGGGAUAAGGGGUGCCACCAUCAGGUGGCCGCAGAGAAUAGGCCCAAGCGACUGUUUACCAAAAACAUAGGUUUCUGCUAAGUCGCAAGACGAUGUAUAGGAGCUGACGCCUGCCCGGUGCUGGAAGGUUAAGGGGAUCUGUUAGAGCAAUCGAAGCAGUGAACUUAAGCCCCAGUAAACGGCGGCCGUAACUAUAACGGUCCUAAGGUAGCGAAAUUCCUUGUCGGGUAAGUUCCGACCCGCACGAAAGGCGUAACGAUUUGGGCACUGUCUCAACAACAGACUCGGUGAAAUUGUAAUUCCGGUGAAGAUGCCGGAUACCUGCGACAGGACGGAAAGACCCCAUGGAGCUUUACUGUAGCUUGACAUUGGGUCUUGGUACUACAUGUACAGGAUAGGUGGGAGGCUUUGAAACCAGGACGCCAGUUUUGGCGGAGCCAUCCUUGGGAUACCACCCUUGUAGUACUGGGACUCUAACCAUAGGCCAUGAAUCUGGUCUUGGGACACUGUCAGGUGGGCAGUUUGACUGGGGCGGUCGCCUCCCAAAAGGUAACGGAGGCGCUCAAAGGUUCUCUCAGUACGGUCGGAAAUCGUACGUAGAGUGUAAAGGCAAAAGAGAGCUUGAUUGCAAGACAUACAGGUCGAGCAAGGAUGAAAAUCGGACUUAGUGAUCCGGUGGUUCUGCGUGGAAGGGCCAUCGCUCAACGGAUAAAAGCUACCCUGGGGAUAACAGGCUUAUCUCCCCCAAGAGUCCACAUCGACGGGGAGGUUUGGCACCUCGAUGUCGGCUCAUCACAUCCUGGGGCUGUAGUAGGUCCCAAGGGUUGGGCUGUUCGCCCAUUAAAGUGGUACGCGAGCUGGGUUCAGAACGUCGUGAGACAGUUCGGUCCCUAUCCGUCGCAGGCGUAGGAAAUUUGAGAAGACCUGUCCUUAGUAC
rnacentral:rRNA from 1 species